rnacentral:rRNA from 1 species
GGACCCGCACAAGCAGCGGAGCAUGUGGUUUAAUUCGAAGCAACGCGAAGAACCUUACCAAGGCUUGACAUCCUCUGACCGCCAUAGAGAUAUGGCUUCCCUUCGGGGCAGAGAGACAGGUGGUGCAUGGUUGUCGUCAGCUCGUGUCGUGAGAUGUUGGGUUAAGUCCCGCAACGAGCGCAACCCUUAUCAUUAGUUGCCAGCACUACGGGUGGGAACUCUAAUGAGACUGCCGGGGAUAACUCGGAGGAAGGUGGGGACGACGUCAAAUCAUCAUGCCCCUUAUGUCUUGGGCUACACACGUGCUACAAUGGCCGGUACAAAGGGCUGCGAAGCCGUAAGGCAGAGCGAAUCCCAGAAAACCGGUCCCAGUUCGGAUCGUGGGCUGCAACCCGCCCACGUGAAGCCGGAGUUGCUAGUAAUCGCGAAUCAGCAUGUCGCGGUGAAUGCGUUCCCGGGUCUU